GAUCCUGGCUCAGGAUGAACGCUGGCGGCGUGCUUAGCACAUGCAAGUCGAGCGAAGCACUUAGGAAAGAUUCUUCGGAUGAUUUCCUAUUUGACUGAGCGGCGGACGGGUGAGUAACGCGUGGGUAACCUGCCUCAUACAGGGGGAUAGCAGUUAGAAAUGACUGCUAAUACCGCAUAAGACCACAGCACUGCAUGGUGCAGGGGUAAAAACUCCGGUGGU
rnacentral:rRNA from 1 species